rnacentral:rRNA from 1 species
GAUGAACGCUAGCGGCAGGCUUAACACAUGCAAGUCGAGGGGCAGCACAGAUUGCUUGCAAUCAGGUGGCGACCGGCGCACGGGUGCUGUAACGCUGUAUACAAUCUACCUUGUAGAGGGGAAUAGCCCAGAGAAAUUUGGAUUAAUGCCCCAUAGUAUUAUCGAUUAGCAUUAAUUGAUAAUUAAAGUUUCGGCGGUAAAAGAUGAGUAUGCGUUCUAUUAGCUAGAUGGUGUGGUAACGGCACACCAUGGCAACGAUAGAUAGGGGCCCUGAGAGGGGGAUCCCCCACACUGGUACUGAGACACGGACCAGACUCCUACGGGAGGCAGCAGUGAGGAAUAUUGGACAAUGGGCGCAAGCCUGAUCCAGCCAUGCCGCGUGCAGGAAGACGGCCCUAUGGGUUGUAAUCUGCUUUUAUACAGGAAGAAACACUCCCUCGUGAGGGAGCUUGACGGUACUGUAAGAAUAAGGACCGGCUAACUCCGUGCCAGCAGCCGCGGUAAUACGGAGGGUCCGAGCGUUAUCCGGAAUCAUUGGGUUUAAAGGGUCCGUAGGCGGGCCAUUAAGUCAGGGGUGAAAGUCUGCGGCUCAACCGUAGAAUUGCCUUUGAUACUGGUGGUCUUGAGUUAUGGUGAAGUGGCUGGAAUAUGUAGUGUAGCGGUGAAAUGCAUAGAUAUUACAUAGAACACCGAUUGCGAAGGCAGGUCACUAACCAUAUACUGACGCUGAUGGACGAAAGCGUGGGGAGCGAACAGGAUUAGAUACCCUGGUAGUCCACGCCGUAAACGAUGGAUACUAGCUGUUCGGUAGCAAUACUGAGUGGCUAAGCGAAAGUGAUAAGUAUCCCACCUGGGGAGUACGUUCGCAAGAAUGAAACUCAAAGGAAUUGACGGGGGCCCGCACAAGCGGUGGAGCAUGUGGUUUAAUUCGAUGAUACGCGAGGAACCUUACCAGGGCUUAAAUGUAGAUUGACAGGGGUGGAAACACCUUUUCCUUCGGGCAAUUUACAAGGUGCUGCAUGGUUGUCGUCAGCUCGUGCCGUGAGGUGUCAGGUUAAGUCCUAUAACGAGCGCAACCCCUGUUGUUAGUUGCCAGCGAGUCAUGUCGGGAACUCUAACAAGACUGCCGGUGCAAACCGUGAGGAAGGUGGGGAUGACGUCAAAUCAUCACGGCCCUUACGUCCUGGGCCACACACGUGCUACAAUGGUAGGUACAGAGAGCAGCCACUGCGUGAGCAGGAGCGAAUCUAUAAAACCUAUCUCAGUUCGGAUCGGAGUCUGCAACUCGACCUCCGUGAAGCUGGAAUCGCUAGUAAUCGGAUAUCAGCCAUGAUCCGGUGAAUACGUUCCCGGGCCUUGUACACACCGCCCGUCAAGCCAUGGAAGCUGGGAGUACCUGAAGUCCGUCACCGUAAGGAGCGGCCUAGGGUAAAAUCGGUAACUAGGGCUAAGUCGUAACAAGGUAGCCGUACCGGAAGG